rnacentral:rRNA from 1 species
AAAGAGGGAAGUGCCUCGCAAGAGGAGCCUGGAGACAGGUGCUGCAUGGCUGUCGUCAGCUCGUGUCGUGAGAUGUUGGGUUAAGUCCCGCAACGAGCGCAACCCUUGUCUUUAGUUGCCAUCAUUCAGUUGGGCACUCUAAAGAGACUGCCGGUGUCAAACCGGAGGAAGGUGGGGAUGACGUCAAGUCCUCAUGGCCUUUAUGACCAGGGCUACACACGUACUACAAUGGCCGGUACAAAGGGCAGCCACUUAGCGAUAAGGAGCCAAUCCCGUAAAGCCGGUCUCAGUCCGGAUUGGAGUCUGCAACUCGACUCCAUGAAGUUGGAAUCGCUAGUAAUCGCAGAUCAGCACGCUGCGGUGAAUACGUUCCCGGGCCUU